rnacentral:tRNA from 1 species
GCGGGCAUAGCUCAGGUGGUUAGAGCGUCUGACUGUGGCUCAGAAGGUCGUCGGUUCGAGUCCGACUGCCCGCCCUA